CAAAACACUAUUCACUCCAGCCAGUUUAGCAGUUCGAAAUAGUUGGAGCUCUUCUGAAUGUCCGUUUGAGCUCAAAUUUGACAGGCAGGCUCAGUUUAACAUACUGAGUAAGAAGCUAAUCAGUUUCGACCCUAUUUGGUCACCGAAAACUGUACCGAACUGUAAUCUUUUUCAGAUAGCUGUCGGAUUUUAUUUCUCGCUCUACGGGUGUCAGAAAAAUAUGAAACUUUAAAUCUAGCAUCAUAAAAAUAUUUCUGACUUAUCCUCCAAUUUUCAUAAUUUUCUGAGACUGCAUUUUCUGCUAAUUUAUCUGUUCUGUUUCCAACAGAAAAUUCUAGAUCUUCUGUUUUCAUUCCGAUUUCAGCACAAGUCACUUCUGACUUAUGUUUUACUUCUAUAAAUUCAAUAAAAAUAGUUUCUCACACUAUUUUUAUUUAUUUUUAUUUUUAUACCAAAAUCUGGUAUGUUACAUUGAAGGUAAGCAACUUGUUCUUUCUCCAAGAUUUUAUGAUUUGAAGGUUUUUAGUAGAUGGAACCCUAGAAUGGGAAUUUAGGGUUGUUUUUGGGGCUUUUUGAUUUAGGGCUUUUGAGGCUAAAUUUUUUGG
rnacentral:lncRNA from 1 species